CCUACGGGAGGCAGCAGUGGGGAAUAUUGGACAAUGGGGGGAACCCUGAUCCAGCGACGCCGCGUGAGUGAAGAAGUAUUUCGGUAUGUAAAGCUCUAUCAGCAGGGAAGAAAGAAAUGACGGUACCUGACUAAGAAGCCCCGGCUAACUACGUGCCAGCAGCCGCGGUAAUACGUAGGGGGCAAGCGUUAUCCGGAUUUACUGGGUGUAAAGGGAGCGUAGACGGCGCAGCAAGUCUGAAGUGAAAGGCGGGGGCUCAACCCCCGGACUGCUUUGGAAACUGGACGGCUGGAGUGCAGGAGAGGGAAGUGGAAUUCCGAGUGUAGCGGUGAAAUGCGUAGAUAUUAGGAGGAAUACCAGUGGCGAAGGCGGCUUACUGGACUGUAACUGACGUUGAGGUGCGAAAGCGUGGGGAGCAAACAGGAUUAGAUACCCGAGUAGUC
rnacentral:rRNA from 1 species